rnacentral:rRNA from 1 species
GGAUACGAUCAUACCAACUCACAUUCAUCGGAUCCCAUAUGAACUCCGAAAUUAAGCGAGUUUUAGGUGAGAGCAGUACUAGGAUAGGUGACCUCCUGGGAAGUCCUCGUGUUGCAUCCC